rfam:Nematostella vectensis strain CH2 x CH6 NEMVEscaffold_486_Cont28486, whole genome shotgun sequence.
GUUGCGGUGGCCGAGUGGUUAAGGCGUUGGACUCGAAAUCCAAUGGGAUCUUCCCGCGCAGGUUCGAAUCCUGCCCGCAACG